AUUGAACGCUGGCGGCAUGCUUUACACAUGCAAGUCGAACGGUAACAGGCCUUCGGGUGCUGACGAGUGGCGAACGGGUGAGUAAUGCAUCGGAACGUGCCCAGAGGUGGGGGAUAACGCAGCGAAAGCUGUGCUAAUACCGCAUGUGAUCUGAGGAUGAAAGCGGGGGACCAGGCAGCAAUGUUUGGCCUCGCGCCUUUGGAGCGGCCGAUGUCAGAUUAGGUAGUUGGUGGGGUAAAGGCCUACCAAGCCGACGAUCUGAAGCUGGUCUGAGAGGACGACCAGCCACACUGGGACUGAGACACGGCCCAGACUCCUACGGGAGGCAGCAGUGGGGAAUUUUGGACAAUGGGCGCAAGCCUGAUCCAGCAAUGCCGCGUGCGGGAAGAAGGCCUUCGGGUUGUAAACCGCUUUUGUACGGAACGAAAAGGCUCUGGCUAAUACCUGGGGCUGAUGACGGUACCGUAAGAAUAAGCACCGGCUAACUACGUG
rnacentral:rRNA from 1 species